UACGGGGGGGGCAAGCGUUGUUCGGAAUUACUGGGCGUAAAGGACUCGUAGGUGGCCAACUAAGUCAGACGUGAAAUCCCUCGGCUUAACCGGGGAACUGCGUCUGAUACUGGAUGGCUUGAGUUUGGGAGAGGGACGCGGAAUUCCAGGUGUAGCGGUGAAAUGCGUAGAUAUCUGGAGGAACACCGGUGGCGAAGGCGGCGUCCUGGACCAACACUGACACUGAGGAGCGAAAGCCAGGGGAGCAAACGGG
rnacentral:rRNA from 1 species